CUGCCGUCCCCCGCUCAUCUUCUCUCUCUCGUACAUCUAAACACACGAACGCCGAAAUCCUGCCUGUUCCUUUCCAGCAGUAACACAGUCACACGUUUCUUUUCUUCUCUUCCGCCUUCUCUUCCUGAGCCGUUCCGUGUCGUUCACAAGCUCAGCCCUCCGCCCCCAUCCCCUCCAUCUCUGGCUUUGGCGCGAUCCCGUCGGUGCUACGUGCCGCUGUGCUGUUUAUCAUCCAUCUCUAUUCGCCUCGGGCUCUCUCGCCUACCUUGAGCCUUCGAUCUCCCCUCCUUGCGGGAACCCCACCUCCCCCGACUCCCCAUCCUGUUCACCUUCGUUCCGCAGCCUAUAUCGGCACCCGCCUACGGCAUCCGUGAAGUCGAACCAUGUCCCACAACGAGGCCGCUCCCAAGCGCGAGAAGGACGCCGCGGGUGCAGCAGCGGUGCCUGAGGCAGCCGCCGCGGGAAAUGACGGUAAGUACAUCCACCCCGAGGCAGCGUCCCUGUUCGCCAGGUGCCCGUGGGUUCGCCGCGUCCCCGUGUUUGGCGAGGCUGUCGAGGGCUACGGGCCCAAGGUCAUCAUCGCCCUCGGCGGGUGCUACCUGCUCUGCAAGGGCGUCGCGGAUCAGAUUCUGCGCGGUCAGACGUACGCCAUGAUGAUGGAUCGCUACGGCAUCGACGUGGCCCGCUACCAGCGCCUGUCUCCGAUUUCGUCCAUGGGGUGGUCCAUCAAGGCCUUCACAGCGAUGCUCUGCGACGGCUUCGCCUUCCUCGGCUACACGAAGCGCUGGUACAUGUUCAUCUCCUGCGUCGGCGGUGGCGCGUUCGCGCUGAUCUACGGCCUCCUUCCGGCGAAGGAGGCGUCGGCCAACGUCGCGUGUGCCUUCAUCUUCCUGUCGUGCUGGGGCAAGGCCAACGUGGAUAUCCUGUCUCAGGGCCAUUACAGUCGACUGAUGCGCCAGAACCCGAAGCCUGGCCCGUCCAUGGUGAGCUGGAUCUGGUUCUGGAUCAUGACCGGCUCACUCAUCGCGACUGUGAUGAACGGCCCGCUCGCGGAUGCCGGGAAGCCGCAGAUCAGCAUCUUCGUGUCCGCCGCGCUGCAGCUCAUCACCUGCGUCUUCUACCUGUUCAACUGGUACGGGGAGAAGAAGAACCGCGUGCUGCGUUCCGAGGACGCGCUGUUUAUUCUGGAGGAGACGCGCAAGGAGCGUGAGCGCCUGGGCACUGAGCUGAUGGACGACGGCACGGCGGGUGCGCAGCAUGAUGGUGCGGCGAAGGGGAAGAGGAGCCCGCAGCGCUCGCACUCGGAUGAGGACGUGGAGGGUGCCGUACGGGAUGCCCUCAACGAUGGUCAGCGCGACAACGGUGAACUUGUGCAGGACGUCUACGACGACGCGUAUGACGACGGCGAAGAGGUGGCCGAGGGCGAGGUGUACUACGGCAAGCCGCCGGUGCCGUGCCUGUUCGGGCUGUUCGAGGCGAACACGGAGGUGAUUUCGAAGAACUGGAAGAUCUUCGUGUACAGCGUUGUCAUGACCUGUGCUGUGAUCACGAUGCUGUGCUGCAACAUCCUGGCCGACACGCUGGGCCUCCUGGUUGCGUGCGUCGUUGUGUCGACCAUCUGCUGCGCCACGUCCUUCUGGGCCCUGCCGCUGGUGAUUGCGAAGGCCAACGUCUUCGGAUACCUUCAGAUGGCUGUUUCCAUCCGUGUCAGCAGUCCCGUAAACGCGUUCUUUCUGAACACCUACGGCUGCCCCGGCAACCUGCCCAACUUCACCUACACCUUCUACGGAACGGUGGCUGGCGUGAUCGCAAGCGUCGUUGGUAUGAUUACCGUGACGCUGUUCAACUUCCUGUUCGCGAAGCAUGGCUACCGCCUCACCUUCAUUGUGACGACAAUCAUGCAGGUUAUGGGUGGUGUGUUCGACAUCAUCAUUGUGAAGCGCUGGAACCUGCACAUCGGCAUCCCUGACCACGCCAUGUACAUCUGGGGUGAUGCUGUUGUGGGUGAGCUCGUGUACAUGCUUGGAUGGAUGCCGAUGAUCGUGCUGCUGUCUCGCCUGUGCCCUCGUGGCUCGGAGAGUGUCGUGUAUGCGCUGAUGGCGGGCUUCUCCAACCUUGGCCAGACCACCGCGGCGUCUCUCGGUGCGAUCAUCAUGGAGUACGGCCUGCCUGUGUUCAAGACGCAGGAUGACGGGUCUCGCUGCAACUACGACAACCUGCCGCUGCUGCUGUUCCUGUGCAGCAUGUGCACGCCGCUGCUGGUGAUUCCGCUGAGCAUAAUACUGCUUCCGAAGGCGCGCAUCUGCGACGAUAUCGACAUUGACGGCAAGGUGGUGCGUCAGGCCGUGGAUAAGCAGGUCGCAGCUGCUCCGCUGUCGAGCUCCGACUCGGACGCGGUGAUGAAUGCCGAACCGCUUCAUGGGAACAAGGCGGAUGAGCGCAAGGCCACGCAGAGCGGUCGUGCGCAGACGCAGAAAAAGGAGUGAGCUCGCAGCGCUGGAUUAUGUCUGCCACUGCUCAUGAAGCGCUCGUUUCAAGUUUAUAUCUUCAGAGUGUUCACCCGUGGUCAACGGCAUGCACUGGAUGGCAUCGUUGUGAUGCCGACGCGCUUAGCCUUUGGAGGUUUUGUUUGGCAGUGUUCACACCGCAGCAGUCGGACCUGUACGCGCUGCUGUUCCUCUCCCUCCUGUUGUCCCUCUUGUCUCCGCGCCACUGCUUCUCGUUUUUUUUUAUGAUCAUAAUGUGUGUGUGUGUGUGUGUGUGUGUGUGUGCGUAUGCUCGCUUUCUGCACGGUGCCUGCCAACCCAGCGAAACAUGCAGGACGUCGUAUUCAUCCCUCCUCCCUCCAUGUGCGCAUGCAUAAGCCCUAGGGAAAAGCGAAGAGAAGCACCCGAGAGCCAAAGAGAGAUCAAGGAAGCGACGCGGCAGCCCAAUAAACCCCGUAAGCCCCCGUUUGGAAGAUCACCAUGACGGUUGCUACUUGUAUAAUGCCCCCCCCUCUCCCUCCCUUUCCCCUCCCUCCCUCUAGCUUUCCGUCUCCUCCUUUCCUUGUUUGCUCGCCCAGCAUUAAAGUCGAUGUCCGACGCCAUUCUUGUUUCUUUUUUUAUGCCUUUUCUGUUUCUCGGUUUCUUCAAUCUUUCUCCAGUGAACGGAGGAGCCGGCACACGACGUAGGAAGCACCAGAGCACACCCGUACACACAGGCACACAAUGUCCAUUUGUGUAUCUGUAUAUUUAGAUGGGUAUUGUAUGUGUGUGCGUGUGUGUGUGUGUAUGUGCAUGUGCUUCUUCCUUUCCUCUCACAUCCUUCCCCCUUUUCCCUUUUCCACCCCUCCCUCUCUCCCAUGUUUCUGUGUUGUUACAUAUUUUUUGUGUGUUGGUGUUCGGUGUAUGGGGAGGGGGGUGGUGGGCGAGCCUCUUUUGUGGUCCUCCCUGUACCCUCGUUCUCUAUGUUUGCUGUCGUUUCGUUCUUUUUCUUUUCCCCACACCGCCACCACCACGACCGUGCCCCGUCCCCCGUCCUCCACCCCCGUCCCCUGUCCCCCACCCCCCAUCCUCCGCCCUUCCUGCUUCCAUAAUCAUUGUUUCCUUUCGGCUCUGUGCGUGUUGGCACCUUAUUUUAUGGCCUGAGCCGUUUAUCGCCUCCUUGUUUGUCCUCCCUCUCUCUUUCUUGAUUACUGUUUUCUUUUUUGUGUGUGUGUUUAUGUGCGUGUGUGACUUUUACUUCGUCAGUGCAGAAGAAUACAGAGCGCGCCACUGCACCUGUCGCUUCUCUACCGUCCCCUCAUCCCCCUCCACCGCCCUAACCACAGUUGUCUCGCUCGUUGUCGAUCGAAACCCCCAUGCCACCUCUUCCCUUUUCUGAAACCGUACACGCGAGGUAUUCUUCUUCGGCACUGGCUCGUGUUCCAAGGCCCCUCCACUGUUUUUUUUUUCGCUGUUUUUUUUUUUUUGCUUUCACAGGCUUAGGAAAAAGAGGGGCUUCCGUUUGGAGCAGGAGGUCGCGCCUGUGUGUGUGUGAGCGGACUGCCUGUCCUCCUCCUCCUCCCCCCACCCCCUCCCUCAAAACGAUAAAGACACAAGGUGCUCGUGCUACCCGAAACGAUGAAAAGGGCAGGCAGGGCGGAGCGAGUUUUGUGGCAGGUCAUGUUUUUGUUGUCGACUCCCACCUCCUCUCCGCCGCCAUCUACGCCACAGCGUGCUUGUUUUCUUUCUCUUCAGGACGGAUUCCCGGCGCAACGGAUCGUUUCUUGACGUGCGUGCGCGUGUGUGGUAUUGCGACUCGCUGAUCUACUUCGUUGUGUCUCCCACCCAUUCAUCACCUCCUUGUUUUUUUUUUGCGGUUCCGCCGAGUGCUUAGUGUGUUUCGUAAAAAUUGUUCCUGUGGUUUUCGACUCUUUCUCUCCAUGUUGUACUCGUCUAUUUUGUGUUUGUGUUUCCCCCUCACCUACGUCUCUUAGAAAUUAUGGUUUUCCCGCCUUUUCUUGUUCAAUGUUCCGAAGCCUAAUCACGCAUGCGCGCACACGCACACCGGUUCCUUGCCUUUUACCCGCCACCCCAUCCCUGGCCAAAAAUGCUCUACAAGCUUCCUCGCAUACUUCUCCCUCUCCUCAUGCACCUUUUUUCUGGUGUCUCGCCACCAUUUGUGUGUCUGUCGGUGUGUUUUGUGUGUCUGUGUGUUCGUUGCGGUCCUGCAGACUCUUCCAAUGGUCUCUCUUGACAUACUUAUGCCUCGCACACACACGCGCACACAGACUCCGAUACACAUUCCCUCUGCAUGACUGUGCAUGUUGUUUUGUUGCACCUUCUUCAUAUUCUUCGUUGCCUUGUCAAGGAGAUCGUGCCUCGAGGGAACGCCGCACAACUGUCAGCGCCGUCGAGCAUCGUCGAUUGGACGCAGAACCGAAGAAAAAAAAAAGAGGGUGAGAUGGAUAAAGUGCGCAUCUGCAAUAUCCGUCCACAUCUCUCUGUCUCACUCUCUAUCCACACAUUUUUUUUCCGGCUGUGGCUGUGGAUGUGUAUGGAUAAAAAGGGAACACAUCUAUACAUGCGUUUUCAUGUGUGCGUAUGUAAGCAUAUAUGUGUGUUGUGUGAUUCAUAUGCUUCCCUCUCCCCUUUUAUUUCGCUUGUAGCUGUUUUUCUCUUUUUUUUCGUUUCCGUCCUUUCCCAUUUUCCUGCUGCUCGGAGUGUUGCCACCCUUUCGCUGGUGUUCUUGGUCUCAUCAUGGUCUCUGCCCCCUCCGCCUCCCCUUCUCCUUUGGUCCCCCGUUUGCCUCACCUCCCUCCCUCCCUUUCCCGCCCUUUUUUGUUCGGUAUCUGUUCUGUGCAUAUAUAUGCCCAUGCAUCUAUAUAUAUGUAUAUAUAUAUAUAUAUAUAUAUAUGUAUGUCUGUGUCUGUGUGCGUGUGGUGCGGUCGUCUCCUGUUGGUGGAGGGCACUGGCCCAGGCCCCCUCCCCUCUACCUCCCCCCUUGUCCCUCUCGCUCGCUUGUCACAGGAGGAAGCAUUACACACACGUACAUAAGUAAAGCGGUAUGUGUGUGUGUUCUGUGCCUCGCCCCGUCCUUCCCCACCCCUUCCCGCACACAUACUCACACCUCGAUCUCUCUCUCUCUUUCACUGGGUACCCUGUGAUCGAAAAGGAAGCAUUUCUUUUUUUUUUUCUAGGUUCGAGUUUUUCUCAUGUAGAUUUCUCCCCACACACACACACACACACACACUCCCUCCCCUCUCUUCCGACGCCACCCCUUCUUGGACUCCUCUUGUGAUGGUCCGUGUGGCAUCGUUUGGGGCUACGCCAAUGUUUGUCUUUCAUUGUUUUUUUUUUGUUUUCGUGCUUAUCUCUCCGAAGGUGCGCUCUUCUCUAUGCGCAUGCGUGUGUGUGCGUGUGGUGGCUCCCUUCUCCCUCCCCCUCACUCGUCGUGUGCCUUCCGAGAAGCACCGCCACGCAGCUUCCGUCUUCCGCGCAGACUCAUCGGGUGAUCUCCCCCGAAAACGUGAGCUGAAAGCGAAAACGGAAGAGCAGCACAGAAAAGGAAAGAAACAGCGGCACCCUCUUGUGGCAGUCCGAGGAACCGUUGCUGUAUCGUUGCUCUCUCAGAGAUCAAGGAACCAUCCAUUCUACAUCCACGCAUACGCGUGCACCGGGCACAUUAGACGGGCUCAUGUGCCCCUGAGCCCGGCGGCUAUCUUCGACAUGAUGGCACGUGUCUUGGCCCUCUUAUUUUUUUCCGUCCCCUUGCCGUUUUCCUUCCAGCGCAGGGCAGCAGGGGAAACCGCGCACAGUUGGACGGCAACGGCACAGGCACACAAGAAGGCACAACGAACCCGAUUUCUUUUUGUUCUCCCUUCGUUUUACGUGGUUUUUUUGUGUGUUGUGUGUUCAUUUUUUAUUUGUUUUUUUUUCAUUUGUGGUUUCAGUGGCAAGACGAAUGGAAGAGAAAGAGGGCGCGGAGAGAUUUGUUGGGUUGCUGUUCCGCAUACUCUGCACACCUGUGUGCUGCAUGGCUCCUCCUCUCCCCUUACUCCAAAGGAUGUGAUUUGCUUCCGAAGACGAGCCGCGCAUCCUCCUCGCUCGCGCACACGCCACCGAUGUCCCCUCUCCCAGGCCUUAUUUCUCCCGUUUUGAUCUCGCAUGCCUUUUCUUUGUCUUUUUUUUUCUGCGUUGUAAGACUUUCUUCUUUUCUUUUUCGUGCAUGUUUGCGCACACACGGUACGGCGGGUGCACCCCUCCCUCCUCCACGCGGAAUAAAAAAGAGACACACCUCCACACACGCCCCAAAACACGCGUGUUCGCAUGUUUUUCUGUUUGCUUGUUUGCGCGUGCUCUCACUCUCGCGCUCGACUGCCCUUCCAGCCGCCGCCGCGUAUGUUUGCUUACCUGCAGCAUGUGCGUAGUGUGCAUGUGAAGGCUGAGUGGCCAAGAGGGCCGUGGUCGUGGUAGUUGGGGAAGUGGCAGAGCCCUGUGUGUCUGUGUGUCUGUGUGUAACUCGCCCUCUCCCUCCUUGACGGUGCCCAGCUCGAACACUCCAAUGGAGUAGUAUGGGUGGUUCCGGUGAAUGAAGAAACAAACAGAGAGCGGUAACAGUGAAAUUUAUGCACGUCUCAGCGAGCAACACCGCGUGGCGCCCUACCCGAGGAACCGUCGCCUCCCUGUGUUGUGCGCACGUGAGCGUAUUUGCGCGUGUAUGCGUAUGUAUGUGUGCGUUCGUCUGCGCUCUUCAGUAUGCCGGGUCUUCACGGCACGCUCCGUCUCUCUGUCGCGGCUCUUCCGUUUUCCGCCUCGGUUGUGUUGCGCGUGUGUAACGCCCGCUGCUUCUCGAGGGUGUUUGAGCGACAAGCUAUGCAGCCCGUGAUGGUGUUGACCCAACGACGUGAUGGCGACCACCUGCAAAC
rnacentral:misc_RNA from 1 species